rnacentral:rRNA from 1 species
AGUGGGGAAUAUUGCACGAUGGGCGAAAGCCUGAUGCAGCAACGCCGCGUGAGUGAUGAAGGCCUUCGGGUCGUAAAGCUCUUUGAUCAGGGAUGAUAAUGACAGUACCUGAAAAACAAGCCACGGCUAACUACGUGCCAGCAGCCGCGGUAAUACGUAGGUGGCGAGCGUUGUCCGGAAUUAUUGGGCGUAAAGGAUGCGUAGGUGGAUAUUUAAGUGAGAUGUGAAAUCCCCGGGCUCAACCCGGGAACUGCAUUUCAAACUGGAUGUCUAGAGUGCAGGAGAGGAAAGCGGAAUUCCUAGUGUAGCGGUGAAAUGCGUAGAUAUUAGGAGGAACACCAGUGGCGAAGGCGGCUUUCUGGACUGUAACUGACACUGAGGCAUGAAAGUUUGGGUAGCAAACAGGAUUAGAUACCCUGGUAGUCCACGCCGUAAACGAUGGGUACUAGGUGUAGGAGGUAUCGACCCCUUCUGUGCCGUCGUUAACACAAUAAGUACCCCGCCUGGGGAGUACGGUCGCAAGACUAAAACUCAAAGGAAUUGACGGGGGCCCGCACAAGCAGCGGAGCAUGUGGUUUAAUUCGAAGCAACGCGAAGAACCUUACCUAGACUUGACAUCUCCUGAAUUACCCGUAACUGGGGAAGCUCUUCGGA